AAAUUUAAUCUGGGUCCAGUCAGUGGCCAAUUUAAGAAAGCUCAAGAAGUAAUCACUAUCCCAUAGAUAGCGCCAUCCAGCUUUCGUAUACAGUACAACUGGCCACAGAUAGUUAUUUCGAACCCUGGUACAUAUAGGCUCUAUAUAUCUAAAUAAUAACAUAUAUACGAAUAAGUGCGAUGUUCCACUCAAUCUUUGUUCAUCCAACGAUAAAGGCCGUUUGCAAAAUUAACAGUGAUUUAUGCACGGCAUGCAGCCUUUCAGGUUCCUAAUUUUAAAAGGGUCUAAAGGGUUUAAACGACAAAAUAUUCAGACUUCUCUGCCUGGAUCUCAACAAGCCCAGUAUUAUACAGUGUGCAUAAAAAAAAUUAACCAGGUAACCCUUUCCAUAACGACAGGCCCUUAUGAAACGUUGUAUAGGCUACGUUAACACUAAGGCAAAAGUUUCAGGAUUCGUGGAUCAUGAAAGUACCGGAUUCCUUGUUUUUUACGUAUACAGAUUCGCGAGGUGUGUACACUAAUAAUACUAUACACAGCAAUUGUCAAUGUAAUCAGGAUGUUUUGACCAUCUUUGGCUUCCAAAUUUAACACUGACAAUAAAUUUGAAAAACUUACUGUAUAAGCGGGAGCAAAUUUAUUCGAAUUUUUUACGCAAAAUGUUCGCACGAGAUUUUUUCCCAACUCGAAAGUUUCAGGUUUAUGCUCUUUCUUCGGUCAUUUUGAAUCGGACUUUUCAUGCUCGUGUAGUGUUAAACGGCAAAUGAAUCCGAUAUUAAAACACCCAGGAUUCGU